GAUGAAGAACUUUUAUAUAAUUGUUUAUAUUUUACUUUUGUGUACAGAUUCGUCAGAUUAGAAGUGUGGGUGGACCAACUCCGCGGAGAACUAUUAAGAAUGUGCUAGAUUGUGUAUUAGAGCGCAGCGUGCAAAAUUGUUUCAGCAAAGAUGGGUUGAAAGGAAAGCGGAAACUUCUAAGUACAGCACUUUAUAAAUGUUUAAAAACUGCACUUAUAUCUGACAAAGGUGGUUUUGAAGGGAGCGAUAUUGAAAGACUUGUUGGUGAUUUGU